rnacentral:rRNA from 1 species
UCCUACACUAUACCACCCUGAACGUGCCCGAUCUCGCCUGAUCUCAGAAGCUGCGCAGGGUCAGGCCUGGUUAGUACUUUAAUGGGAGACCAUCUGGGAAUACCAGGUGCUGUAGGCU